CCUACGGGAGGCAGCAGUGGGGAAUAUUGCACAAUGGGGGAAACCCUGAACCAGCCAAGCCGCGUGAGGGAAGACGGCCCUAUGGGUUGUAAACCUCUUUUGUCGGAGAACAAAACCCGGGACGAGUCCCGGACUGCGAGUAUCCGAAGAAAAAGCAUCGGCUAACUCCGUGCCAGCAGCCGCGGUAAUACGGAGGAUGCGAGCGUUAUCCGGAUUUAUUGGGUUUAAAGGGUGCGAAGGCGGACUGUUAAGUCAGCGGUAAAAUUGCGGGGCUCAACCCCGUCGAGCCGUUGAAACUGGCAGCCUUGAGUGGGCGAGAAGUACGCGGAAUGCGCGGUGUAGCGGUGAAAUGCAUAGAUAUCGCGCAGAACUCCGAUUGCGAAGGCAGCGUACCGGCGCCAGACUGACGCUGAGGCACGAAAGCGUGGGGAUCGAACAGGAUUAGAUACCCCUGUAGUC
rnacentral:rRNA from 1 species